rnacentral:rRNA from 1 species
UACGUAGGGUCCGAGCGUUGUCCGGAAUUACUGGGCGUAAAGAGCUCGUAGGUGGUUUGUCGCGUUGUUCGUGAAAACUCACAGCUCAACUGUGGGCGUGCGGGCGAUACGGGCAGACUAGAGUACUGCAGGGGAGACUGGAAUUCCUGGUGUAGCGGUGGAAUGCGCAGAUAUCAGGAGGAACACCGGUGGCGAAGGCGGUUCUCUGGCAUGUCCUGACGCUGAGGAGCGAAAGUGUGGGGAGCGAACAGG